GACGAACGCUGGCGGCGUGCUUAACACAUGCAAGUCGAACGGAAAGGCCCUGCUUUUGUGGGGUGCUCGAGUGGCGAACGGGUGAGUAACACGUGAGUAACCUGCCCUUGACUUUGGGAUAACUUCAGGAAACUGGGGCUAAUACCGGAUAGGAGCUCCUGCUGCAUGGUGGGGGUUGGAAAGUUUCGGCGGUUGGGGAUGGACUCGCGGCUUAUCAGCUUGUUGGUGGGGUAGUGGCUUACCAAGGCUUUGACGGGUAGCCGGCCUGAGAGGGUGACCGGCCACAUUGGGACUGAGAUACGGACCAGACUCCUACGGGAGGCAGCAGUGGGGAAUAUUGCACAAUGGGCGGAAGCCUGAUGCAGCAACGCCGCGUGCGGGAUGACGGCCUUCGGGUUGUAAACCGCAUUCGCCUGUGACGAAGCGUGAGUGACGGUAAUGGGUAAAGAAGCACCGGCUAACUACGUG
rnacentral:rRNA from 1 species